AUCGUGAAACGGUCCGUACGCCAGGGUAUGGGUGGUGGUCUGGUAAGCAUGACGCUUAUGAGAUCACGCCUAUAUUCGCUUUGUACAAGUUCGAUUCCUGCCCAA
rnacentral:pre_miRNA from 1 species